UACGGAGGUCUCAAGCGUUGUUCGGAUUCAUUGGGCGUAAAGGGUGCGUAGGCGGCGCGGUAAGUCGGGUGUGAAAUCUCGGAGCUUAACUCCGAAACUGCAUUCGAUACUGCCGUGCUCGAGGACUGGAGAGGAGACUGGAAUUUACGGUGUAGCGGUGAAAUGCGUAGAUAUCGUAAGGAAGACCAGUGGCGAAGGCGGGUCUCUGGACAGUUCCUGACGCUGAGGCACGAAGGCCAGGGGAGCAAACGGG
rnacentral:rRNA from 1 species